AACGAACGCUGGCGGCGUGCUUAACACAUGCAAGUCGAACGGUGAAGCCCUUCGGGGUGGAUCAGUGGCGAACGGGUGAGUAACACGUGAGCAACCUGCCCCUGGCUCUGGGACAACCACUGGAAACGGUGGCUAAUACCGGAUACGACCCGCCUCGGCAUCGAGUGUGGGUGGAAAGUUUUUCGGCUGGGGAUGGGCUCGCGGCCUAUCAGCUUGUUGGUGAGGUGAAGGCUCACCAAGGCGACGACGGGUAGCCGGCCUGAGAGGGCGACCGGCCACACUGGGACUGAGACACGGCCCAGACUCCUACGGGAGGCAGCAGUGGGGAAUAUUGCACAAUGGGCGAAAGCCUGAUGCAGCGACGCCGCGUGAGGGAUGACGGCCUUCGGGUUGUAAACCUCUUUCAGCUCCGAAGAAGCGAAAGUGACGGUAGGAGCAGAAGAAGCACCGGCUAACUACGUG
rnacentral:rRNA from 1 species